rnacentral:lncRNA from 1 species
CAGUAAAUGAAUUGGUGAGCAAGGUAAUUGCUCGAUUGGUUUGAUUUGAGGUUGUUAACAAUUGGGUGGAUAGCUAGAUUCAGGUAUAUUCUCAGGUGUGAUAAGUAAAUAACUUCAUUUGGGUUUUUAGGGGGUUUAUUGAUAUUAAUUGCUCUUGAAUUCAAACUCAGAUAUAAUCAAUUAGAGUAUCUAAUCUGGAUCUCGGAUUUCAACUAUCUUAAGUUAAUCGCGAGAAAGUGUCGAUCGAUGAUUCAUUAAGAAUAUCGAUCGAUACACCUUUUAAAAUAUCGAUCAACAGAACUAUCGUUACAUCGAUCGAUGCUUCUUUCAGAAAGCUUUAUGGACAGGUUUGAUUUAUAUUCUCUAACUUACUAGAUCAACUCUCGUGUGUAUCUUGUCAGUUAGAUCAUGCUAGUUAAUUUCAGGUAUUGAGUCAAGCAAUGGCUUGUUCU